AGUGAACGCUGGCGGUAGGCCUAACACAUGCAAGUCGAACGGCAGCACAGUAAGAGCUUGCUCUUACGGGUGGCGAGUGGCGGACGGGUGAGGAAUACAUCGGAAUCUACUUUUUCGUGGGGGAUAACGUAGGGAAACUUACGCUAAUACCGCAUACGACCUACGGGUGAAAGCAGGGGAUCUUCGGACCUUGCGCGAUUGAAUGAGCCGAUGUCGGAGUAGCUAGUUGGCGGGGUAAAGGCCCACCAAGGCGACGAUCCGUAGCUGGUCUGAGAGGAUGGUCGGCCACACUGGAACGGAGACACGGUCCAUACUCCUACGGGAGGCAGCAGUGGGGAAUAUUGGACAAUGGGCGCAAGCCUGAUCCAGCCAUACCGCGUGGGUGAAGAAGGCCUUCGGGUUGUAAAGCCCUUUUGUUGGGAAAGAAAAGCAGCAGGUUAAUACCCCGCUGUUCUGACGGUACCCAAAGAAUAAGCACCGGCUAACUUCGUG
rnacentral:rRNA from 1 species